rnacentral:rRNA from 1 species
CCUACGGGAGGCAGCAGUGAGGAAUAUUGGUCAAUGGACGCAAGGCUGAACCAGCCAGGCCGCGUGCAGGAAGACGGCUCUAUGAGUUGUAAACUGCUUUUGUACGAGGGUAAACGCAGAUACGCGUAUAUGUAUGACAGUAUCGUACGAAUAAGGAUCGGCUAACUCCGUGCCAGCAGCCGCGGUAAUACGGAGGAUUCAAGCGUUAUCCGGAUUUAUUGGGGUUAAAGGGUGCGUAGGCGGUCGGUUAAGUUAGAGGUGAAAUUCCGAGGCUCAACUUCGGAAUUGCCUGUGAUACUGUUCGGCGAGAGUGUAGUUGAGGUAGGCGGAAUGUGUGGUGUAGCGGUGAAAUGCUUAGAGAUCAUACAGAACACCGAUUGCGAAGGCAGCUUACCAAGCUACUUCUGACGUUGAGGCACGAAAGCGUGGGGAGCAAACAGGAUUAGAUACCCCAGUAGUC